rnacentral:rRNA from 1 species
UACGUAGGGACCAAGCGUUGUUCGGAUUUACUGGGCGUAAAGGGUGCGUAGGUGGCGCCGUAAGUCAGGUGUGAAAUCUCGGGGCUCAACCCCGAAACUGCACUUGAUACUGCGGUGCUCGAGUACUGGAGAGGAGAUUGGAAUUUACGGUGUAGCAGUGAAAUGCGUAGAUAUCGUAAGGAAGACCAGUGGCGAAGGCGAAUCUCUGGACAGUUACUGACACUGAGGCACGAAGGCCAGGGGAGCAAACGGG